rnacentral:rRNA from 1 species
AUUGAACGCUGGCGGCAUGCCUUACACAUGCAAGUCGAACGGCAGCGCGGACUUCGGUCUGGCGGCGAGUGGCGAACGGGUAAGUAAUGUAUCGGAACGUACCAUUGAGUGGGGGAUAACGUAGCGAAAGUUACGCUAAUACCGCAUAUUCUCUCCGGAGGAAAGCAGGGGACCGCAAGGCCUUGCGCUCUUUGAGCGGCCGAUAUCAGAUUAGCUAGUUGGUGGGGUAAAAGCUCACCAAGGCGACGAUCUGUAGCGGGUCUGAGAGGAUGAUCCGCCACACUGGAACUGAGACACGGUCCAGACUCCUACGGGAGGCAGCAGUGGGGAAUUUUGGACAAUGGGGGCAACCCUGAUCCAGCCAUGCCGCGUGAGUGAAGAAGGCCUUCGGGUUGUAAAGCUCUUUCGGCCGGGAAAAAAUCGCAUGGAUUAAUACUCUGUGUGGAUAAUGGUACCGGAAUAAGAAGCACCGGCUAACUACGUGCCAGCCGCCGCCGUAA